GAGAUUUUAGUAUAAUUUAGUAUAAUUUAUUUUCAAUAAAUAGGUGAAAAUCUUGUU
rnacentral:tRNA from 1 species